AGAGUUUGAUCAUGGCUCAGAUUGAACGCUGGCGGCAUGCCUUACACAUGCAAGUCGAACGGCAGCACGGGAGCAAUCCUGGUGGCGAGUGGCGAACGGGUGAGUAAUACAUCGGAACGUGCCCUGUCGUGGGGGAUAACUAGUCGAAAGAUUAGCUAAUACCGCAUACGACCUGAGGGUGAAAGCGGGGGACCGUAAGGCCUCGCGCGAUAGGAGCGGCCGAUGUCUGAUUAGCUAGUUGGUGAGGUAAGAGCUCACCAAGGCGACGAUCAGUAGCUGGUCUGAGAGGACGAUCAGCCACACUGGGACUGAGACACGGCCCAGACUCCUACGGGAGGCAGCAGUGGGGAAUUUUGGACAAUGGGGGCAACCCUGAUCCAGCAAUGCCGCGUGUGUGAAGAAGGCCUUCGGGUUGUAAAGCACUUUUGUCCGGAAGGAAAUCCCCUGGGAUAAUACCUCGGGGGGAUGACGGUACCGGAAGAAUAAGCACCGGCUAACUACGUGCCAGCAGCCGCGGUAAUACGUAGGGUGCGAGCGUUAAUCGGAAUUACUGGGCGUAAAGCGUGCGCAGGCGGUUUUGUAAGACAGGCGUGAAAUCCCCGAGCUCAACUUGGGAAUGGCGCUUGUGACUGCAAGGCUAGAGUAUGUCAGAGGGGGGUAGAAUUCCACGUGUAGCAGUGAAAUGCGUAGAGAUGUGGAGGAAUACCGAUGGCGAAGGCAGCCCCCUGGGACGUCACUGACGCUCAUGCACGAAAGCGUGGGGAGCAAACAGGAUUAGAUACCCCGGUA
rnacentral:rRNA from 1 species